UGUAAUCGCGCCACCGUCAAAUCUGACAUGGGAUGCUCUCCAGCCGAGCUGGUUUUCGGCACUACCUCUCCCAGGUCAGUGUGUCGCUUUAUCCCCCGACACCUGUCUCUUUUAUCUUAGGUCAUUCGCUGACCGCCUCCAGGAUCACGUCGCAACUUUCACCAGCUUCGACGCGAGUCAUGUCCACUGCUGCCCACUUGCCAAAAGACCUUCACACAUGCACUCAUUGAUGUUCGCUAUGGUGCUGUCCGCAAACCUCUUCAACCACCAUACAACGGACCCUUCCAGUCUCCGUCCUCAGCCGCACCGACAAGUUCUUCACCUUGUCCACCGCCAAAAAGCGCGAACAGGUCAGCCGUGACCACCUCAAGGUGGCGUACCAAGAUGACAAAUCCGACGGGAGCGGCCACCUCCAGUUUCUCCAAUGCCCCGGCAACCCGCAAUCCUCCCUCCACCUGCAAAGAUGGCCACAUCCACACCGUCACCUGCACCACGACCUCGUCCAACACCUUCUGCAGCACCUUCAUCCUGUCGCCAAGACAACCCGCUCUGUUCGUCAUGUUUCCUUUCCAAAACGCUAUGUGGGGUUCAUAGUUCAUCGACCAUUGCUGGUUCAUCCUUUUUUAUGUCCUCACCAUCUCGGAGGUGGCUAAUGUAGUGACCCUUGAUCUAUAAAGGUCACACCAACAAACGAACAUUUAUGCAUAUAACUUUCCGUCUUCGUUUUCGCGCGUGUAUUAUCCCUGAAAAUUUCCCACGUCUUCAAACUAAUUUUUGUCAGCUUCGCUCACUACUUAUUUUGUUAACUGUUUGAGGAGAAUACUGUUCUUCACAUCGUCUGUUUUAUCAACCGUGCAGUGAUGGUAAUUAAAUGACUGACUCUAAAAAAAGAAAGACUUUCUGUCGUUUAACGUUCGAGCGCCAGUCCACAUACGGGCCGGGCAACUCGUCCCCCGACAUAACAGUGACUGACAUAGUCGCCCUGUGGAAGGGGGUGUAUAGGUCACCGAUUUGACCGACUACGUCGAGCAAAGCUCCUUUUUUGCCCCGACUGCAGGAAAUAUAUUUGGAUAUGGUCCGGCAAAACAUGGCAAUAAUGUACACACACUGUGUACUCAUCAGUAUGAAGUCGCCAACUUGGUCUGGAAUCAACUCGCUCUGAGUCGACUCUAUCUCAAGUCAACUUGGUCCCAAGUCAACUCGGUUGAUCUCGUCAACUCUGGAAGGCAGGUAUAUGGCUGCAGCAUGAAUACAAAUUUUCCAAGCUAGUUUCAACACACUUUAGUAUAACUGUAUUAAAGUACACAUAUUUCCAGAAUUCUAAAAUUGCAUGUACUGUUCAUGUAAAUUUACUGACAUGUGCAUGAGAUGCCUGGCUUUGUAAAUUGGGAAGGCCAGGCACUUGGAUGCAUCGUUAAUUAUAAGCCAAAUCCCAGUGUUUCUUGCUAGACUAUCAAACUAUGGCAUAUAAGCUUUCCAGAAUUCUAACAUUGUAUGUAGGCUAUAUUUACACAUAUACUGACAUGUGCAUGAGAUGCCCGGCCUUGUAUAAAUUUGCGAAGGCCAGGCACUUGGAUGCAUCAAUUACCACAGAUGAGAAGGCAAAAUCCCAGUCUUUCUUUAAAUACCAGACUGACAAACUUUGGCAUAUGAGUAUUUCCAGAAUUCUAACAGUGCUUGUACUCUAUACUGACAUGUACAGCUAAUUAUGCAAUGCCCUUGGCUGGUUCCCUGUCUGCUCACGGUCUGCUUGUGGCAAAUCAUUGGUAUUGCAGCUCGCACUCUGUGAUGUGACGCGAAAGUGACAAAACAACCAUCAGUUUUGUGCAAGUGCAAAAUCAAGCAGAUUUUUAGUUAUGCCCCUGGAUAUCUGGGAUAAAAUUUAUCAAAAUUCCCUGGGAAUAGGGAUAGGGCCCAGUAUAUGACGGAAGAGUAUAUGUCGGGCCCCGUUUACGGGUCUGCCUUUCAAUAGGCCUCCAUCCAUGAUCAUGUAGGCCUACGUAGGCCUGCAUCAUACAUUACAAAAAUGUUGAGUUCACACACUUGCUACUUGUCACUGUGCACUGUACUGAGUUCCAAAGCCUUUGCAAUUUCAUCGAUCAUGUAAUGUAGGUCUAUUGACCUGAUUUCCAUUGGUAGUUUUUUGAAGUGCAAAAUUAACGCUUUGAAAAUUGUACCCACAGUGAAGAAGGUAACUACUAACGUUAUGCCUACUUUUUUGAAAAUAAGUUUGUACACGUAUGUAUAUUUCGGGGUGAUACUAGAAUUUAUCAACUUUGAAGAACUUCUUAUGUGGGAUUUUCAGAGAUUUGUUUAAGUGUGCCACAAACAGGGAACAGUCAGCUGAACUUUGUGCCAAUUUCUGGAUGCUGGUGUUUUUGAAUUUUGGGUCAAAUUUCAUGACAUCAAAAUUGUUCACAAGGAUGAUUAGUAGCAUGCAUUUUAAGGUUAUAAUGUCAUUAUUUACUGUAACUGAAUGAAUUCAAAGUUUUUCAGCAAAGAGGUUUGGCAGUAAUGCAUGAGAAGAGUCAAGGAAACUCCUAAACUAGAAACAAGACAAGUUGAGGAAGGCUUAAACAUUGGGAUAAAGCUCCCUGGCCAUGAACGGUAUCAGCCACAUACAGGUAUUUUUCAGUUGCCUUUUUGAUUAAUUCACCCAGCAGUUUAUCAUGUUCAAUUUGCCCAAAUGGUGAUUUCCUAACCAUCAUGCCUGUUGGUAAAUUACUUGUCAUCUUGAUACCUUAAUUUUGUUACAACUGUGAUUUGCUCAAGAUCUUUACUGGCAGUGAACAUGCAUGUACAACUCCAGACACCAGCAGUUUUGGUGAUCCCUGAAAACGUUAAUUACUGCACACCACACUAGAUGCGUUUAACUAGCAUCUAUCAUGUGCUUAAAUGAAUCUAUUUUUAAAAUAAGAGUAGCUCGCCUUAGCUGCACCCUAUAUGCCUGCAUUGCAUUGGCACACUUUGAUGCUGGACCCCACACCUGCAUACACACCUGGCAGCUGGCACUCAGGUAAGAGAUGACUGGACGAUGGAGACCUGCAAGUCCGGAUAUGACAUCAUGACAUCAUGCUCAGCACACAUACAUGUAAUUGACACCUGCUAACCCUUCUGAUUUGAUUGCAACUAGGCAGGUGUGGUGGAUUCACCCUCCACCCAUGAAAGGGAAAAAAAGAGGGGAAGACAUUUUUUGAAGGGGGGAGGGGGCUGUAUGGGGUGGAAAGCGAUGGAAGGUGUUAUGUCAUUGUUUAUGUGGGAGGGGGGGAGAUAACCUUCCCCUCCCUUAUAGGGGCAAGACGAUCAGGCAUAAAUUGAAAGCUGCUUCAGCUGAAAAUCUUUCCUUAUUUAAAGUAAAGUUGAAUUUGCCACUUGGUGCAGCCAUAAAAAAAUAUACGGUUCUGUGUUAAUUUCUAUUGUCUUCGAGAACUGAAUUAAAAACUAAAGAGACUGCACAGUGCUGGAUGUUAUACACUUUGUACACAUGAUGACAAAUAUUUUCUGGCCGAGAACAUAACCGACGGUAAAGCUGUCUUGGGGUAUAAUUUCCCCCUAAAUUUACUGAUGAAGGCCACAAUUUGGAUUCUCUGAACAUUUUUUGGGCAGCUCCACGAAAAUGAAUAUUUGUCUUGUAAAAAAGAAGAAGUUUUAUUAGAAAUGGGUGAAUUAGUUGAAUCAUUUUAUGAUUAUAUUUAUUUCACAGAUCGAGCCCGUUAUUGCUAUAAUAUCUGCUCUUGGGACAUGAUGAAGGUCCAAGCAAGGCAGUCAGAUUGUGGAAUCAAAGAGGGCCAGCAGUAUACAGGAAAGUCGCGUUAACAGAGAUGGUAGCGAGAGUGGAAGAAACGUGUGCUGUCCAUCCAGCAGAAGUCUGUCUUCUGCAGUGACUGUAAGUUGUCUUUUCAAGUAUUGAGAAACUGUUGAGGCCAUGUCACAGAGAGGUGCACAAAGUAACGUCAAGGUAAUAUUGAAGAUUUUAAAUAAAGACACUCAAGCCGAUAGGAGUCAUAAGAUAUUACCUGAACUGAAUCACUUUCAGGUGUGACAACUUAACAAUCACCAUUGUGCCGUUAAUUGUGUGUUCAUUUGACCCUAAAAGAACCAGGGGGUUGAUAGAAUCUGCCCCCUCAAGAGUUUUUCUGAUAUCGCCACAGUACAGUAAUCAAGCCUUCAGGAGUUUUUCAGUAACUCCGAGCCAAUUUGGCUCAUCAGGCUGGUGUUUAUUGCGGUU
rnacentral:lncRNA from 1 species